UAUUGAUAAUAGCAAACUCAUUGAAAAAUGAGGACGCAAAGCUAUGGAUCUAAGGGAAAGUAUUGUUCCUAUGAUUGCCAGGUUGCCAAA
rnacentral:ncRNA from 1 species